rnacentral:rRNA from 1 species
UUGCAUGAUAACUGCUCAGGGAUUCAAAUGUUGAGGAUCGGCGCCGCUGCACCAAGUCGGCCGCCUUGCCCAAACCGUGUCACUGCAUUUGAGAAGGUUAUCCGAAACUAUGCUGAGAAUCCAAGAGAAAAUGUGAUCACACCGACUAUUGGCACAACCUUUGAUUCAGUAGGAGAGGCAUAUGACUUCUACAAUUUGUAUUCAUGGGAAAAGGGGUUUGGUAUCAGAUAUGGCAAGAGUCGGCUAAAUGUAGAGAGGAUUAAAUGCAUGCAAGAAAUCGUCUGUGGUUGCUCGGGAAAAGCUGGUGUUGAGAAUACAAGAUCUUGUCGCUGCGAAUGCCCAGCUUUAGUAAGGCUCCUACGAAGAGAAGAUAAUGGAUGGUAUAUUGCAGAGCACAGGGAUACUCACAACCACUCAUUGUCGCCGAACUUUGGCGAGACACUACAUUGGCCAUCGCACAAGCAUAUAGAUGUAUACACAAGAGAUCUUGUGAAGCAGUUGCGGCAGAACAAUGUCAAUUUGUCUAAGGUGUAUAGCAUAAUCGGAGGUUUCUUUGGAUGG